UACGUAGGGUGCAGGCGUUAAUCGGAAUUACUGGGCGUAAAGCGUGCGCAGGCGGUUUGCUAAGACAGGUGUGAAAUCCCCGGGCUUAACCUGGGAACUGCGCUUGUAACUGGCAAGCUAGAGUGUGGCAGAGGGGGGUGGAAUUCCACGUGUAGCAGUGAAAUGCGUAGAGAUGUGGAGGAACACCGAUGGCGAAGGCAGCCCCCUGGGCUAACACUGACGCUCAUGCACGAAAGCGUGGGGAGCAAACAGGG
rnacentral:rRNA from 1 species